CCUACGGGGUGCAGCAGUGAGGAAUAUUGGUCAAUGGACGAGAGUCUGAACCAGCCAAGUAGCGUGAAGGAUGACUGCCCUAUGGGUUGUAAACUUCUUUUAUAUGGGAAUAAAAUGUUCCACGUGUGGGAUUUUGUAUGUACCAUAUGAAUAAGGAUCGGCUAACUCCGUGCCAGCAGCCGCGGUAAUACGGAGGAUCCGAGCGUUAUCCGGAUUUAUUGGGUUUAAAGGGAGCGUAGGUGGAUUGUUAAGUCAGUUGUGAAAGUUUGCGGCUCAACCGUAAAAUUGCAGUUGAAACUGGCAGUCUUGAGUACAGUAGAGGUGGGCGGAAUUCGUGGUGUAGCGGUGAAAUGCUUAGAUAUCACGAAGAACUCCGAUUGCGAAGGCAGUUCACUGGACUGCAACUGACACUGAGGCUCGAAAGUGUGGGUAUCAAACAGGAUUAGAUACCCCAUAGU
rnacentral:rRNA from 1 species